AUUGAACGCUGGCGGCAGGCCUAACACAUGCAAGUCGAGCGAGCGGCGGACGGGUGAGUAAUGUAUGGGGACUGCCCGAUGGAGGGGGAUAACUACUGGAAACGGUGGCUAAUACCGCAUACUAUCGGAUCACCCAUAUGGGAUUAGCUAAUAGGUGGGGUAAAGGCUCACCUAGGCGAUGAUCUCUAGCUGGUCUGAGAGGAUGAUCAGACACACUGUAACAGAGACACGGGACAGACUCAUACGGGGGCAGGAGGGGAGAAUAGUGGACAGUGAGCGGAAGCGUGAUGCAGCGACACGGCGUGGGGGAAGACGGCCUUGGGGUUGUAAAGUCCUUUCACCAGCGACGCGAUAGAUGGAGAAGAAGCACCGGCUAACUACGUGCCAGCCGCCGCGGUAAUAC
rnacentral:rRNA from 1 species